GUAUGAGGCACCAGGGGUGAAGCGGGCAUGGGCUGCUGGAGCGGGAAUGAGGGGGCGCCAGUGGCUCCGGAAACGGGUUGAGGUUGUCUGCACUGGCCGCUCCGCAAACACAGUGUGUGCGGGCGUCAGGGCAGCAGGUCUGGUAGAGAAAAGUCCACCGCCAUCCCUCUCCCGAAUGGGGCGGAGGUUUCGGUUCUGUGGUGAUCUGGACUGUCCUGACCGGGUCCUGGCAGAGAUCAGCACGCUGGCCAAGAUGUAUAAGAAGAUCCUGAAACUCACAGCUGAUGCCAAGUUUGUCAGGCGAUGUGAAGGCCACAGUGGCAGUGCUGAGUUUCAUCCUCUCCGGUGCGGCCAAGCACAGUGUCGAUGGCAAAUCCUUGGCCAGUGAACUGCAGCAGCUGGGGCUGCCCAAAGAGCACGCGGCCAGCCCGUGCUGCUGUUAUGAGGAGAAGCAAAGCCCCUUGCAGAAGCACUUGCGGGUCUGCAGCCUACGCA